rnacentral:rRNA from 1 species
AAAUUGAAGAGUUUGAUCAUGGCUCAGAUUGAACGCUGGCGGCAGGCCUAACACAUGCAAGUCGAACGGUAACAGGAAGCAGCUUGCUGCUUUGCUGACAAGUGGCGGACGGGUGAGUAAUGUCUGGGAAACUGCCUGAUGGAGGGGGAUAACUACUGGAAACGGUAGCUAAUACCGCAUAACGUCGCAAGACCAAAGAGGGGGACCUUCGGGCCUCUUGCCAUUGGAUGUGCCCAGAUGGGAUUAGCUAGUAGGUGGGGUAACGGCUCACCUAGGCGACGAUCCCUAGCUGGUCUGAGAGGAUGACCAGCCACACUGGAACUGAGACACGGUCCAGACUCCUACGGGAGGCAGCAGUGGGGAAUAUUGCACAAUGGGCGCAAGCCUGAUGCAGCCAUGCCGCGUGUAUGAAGAAGGCCUUCGGGUUGUAAAGUACUUUCAGCGGGGAGGAA